rnacentral:rRNA from 1 species
AGUAUGUGGUUUAAUUCGAUAGCAACGCGAAGAACCUUACCUGGUCUUGACAUCCCGGAGACCCUUAGGAGACUAGGGGUGCUUCCAUCUGGAAGAAUCUGGAGACAGGUGCUGCAUGGCUGUCGUCAGCUCGUGUCGUGAGAUGUUGGGUUAAGUCCCGCAACGAGCGCAACCCUUGCCUUUAGUUGCCAGCAGUUCGGCUGGGCACUCUAAAGGGACUGCCGGUGUUAAACCGGAGGAAGGUGGGGAUGACGUCAAGUCCUCAUGGCCUUUAUGACCAGGGCUACACACGUACUACAAUGGCCGAUACAAAGGGCAGCGACACUGCGAGGUGAAGCCAAUCCGUAAAUCGGUCUCAGUCCGGAUUGGAGUCUGCAACUCGACUCCAUGAAGUUGGAAUCGCUAGUAAUCGUGGAUCAGCAUGCCACGGUGAAUACGUUCCCGGGCCUU